rnacentral:rRNA from 1 species
AUACCGGUCCUUUCACGGUCUGGUAAUUGGAAUGAGAACAAUUUAAAUCCCUUAACGAGGAUCCAUUGGAGAGCAAGUCUGGUGCCAGCAGCCGCGGUAACACCAGCUCCAAUAGCGUAUAUUAAAGUUGUUGCAGUUAAAAAGCUCGUAGUUGGAUAUCUGGCAUUGACACCUGGCCCGUUUCCUACAUGGGAGACGUUGUGCUGGUUGCUGUCUUUGCCAUCCUUCUGGAGAAUGUUUCUGCUCUUCAUUGAGUGGGGACAUAAUCUAGAUCAUUUACUUUGAAAAAAUUAGAGUGUUCAAAGCAGGCUUUUAUGCAUUUGAAUACAUUAGCAUGGAAUAAUAAAAUAGGACUUUGGUUCUAUUUUGUUGGUUUCUAGGACCAAAGUAAUGAUUGAUAGGGAUAGUUGGGGGUGCUUGUAUUGGACGGCCAGAGGUGAAAUUCUUGGAUUCGUUCAAGACAAACAACUGCGAAAGCAUUCACCAAGGAUGUCUUCUUUAAUCAAGAACGAAAGUUGGGGGAUCGAAGACGAUCAGAUACCGUCGUAGUCCUAACCAUAAACUAUGCCGACUGAGGAUCAGUGGAUGUUGUUUAAAUGACUCCAUUGGCACUCUAUGAGAAAUCUAAGUCUUUGGGUUCCGGGGGGAGUAUGGUCGCAAGGCUGAAACUUAAAGGAAUUGACGGAAGGGCACCACCAGGAGUGGAGCCUGCGGCUUAAUUUGACACAACACGGGAAAACUUACCAGUCCGACAUAGUUAGGAUUGACAGAUUGCAGAUCUUUCUUGAUUCUAUGGGUGGUGGUGCAUGGCCGUUCUUAGUUGGUGGAGUGAUUUGUCUGGUUAAUUCCGUUAACGAACGAGACCUCAGCCUACUAAAUAGUCGCGCGAACAUUCGUGUUCGUAGUUCGACUUCUUAGAGGGACUGUCUGUUUCUAACAGAAGGAAGUUUGAGGCAAUAACAGGUCUGUGAUGCCCUUAGAUGUUCUGGGCUGCACGCGCGCUACACUGUUGCAUUCAACAAGCAAUUCAUCCCUUGGCCGACAGGUCUGGGUAAUCUUUGAAAAUGCAACGUGCUGGGGCUAGAGUAUUGCAAUUAUUACUCUUAAACGAGGAAUUCCUAGUAAACGCGAGUCAUCAGCUCGCAUUGAUUACGUCCCUGCCCUUUGUACACACCGCCCGUCGCUCCUACCGAUUGAAUGAUCCGGUGAAAUCUUUGGACCGUGACUCUUUGUUGGCUUUGCUGGCUUUGCGUCUUCGGGAAGUUGAUUAAACCUU